GAAUGCGUCGGGCAAAGCUCGCCUUCUGGGUGUGGCUCGUCGGACGCUUCCUAUCUUUGGAUAAUGGCCCUCUUGCUUCACGGCUUGGGGAUCACCGUUUCCAAUCAUUUACUUUGAAAAAAUUAGAGUGUUCAAAGCAGGCGUAACUUGCCAUUGAAUAUUACAGCAUGGGAUAAUAGAAUAUGACAUUGGUCUUAUUUUGUUGGUUUCUAAGGCUGAUGUA
rnacentral:rRNA from 1 species